UUUUCUUGCUUAAAAAAAUUUAACUGUUGCUCAAAAAACUUUAACUUCAUUCAAGAAGUUUUUAAUCUUCCUUAAUAUUUUCUUGAGCCAAGAAAAUUUACACUCUAGUCAAGAAUUUUUUUUUUCAGUGU